rnacentral:lncRNA from 1 species
AGCAAUUUUGUGAAAACAGUUAAUAAAAUAUAGAUAGCAAUAUUAGUGGACUCAUGAUCAAAAAUUUAAGUUAAGACUUUUCGUCCUGUUAACAUUAGAUGAAAAUGUAUUUAUGGUCUGGGUAAGAGCAUGUUUUUGGGUUUUGUUUUGUUUUGUCUUUUUGCCUUUUGUAGGGCUGCUCCCAUGGCAUAUGGAGAUUCCCAGGCUGCACUAAUUUAUAUGCCUACCAACAGUGUAUGAGUGUUCUCUUUUUCUACCCCUUUUCCUCUAUUUAUUGUUUGUGGACAUUUUGAAGAGAGCCAUUCUGACAGAUGGGAAGUGAUACUUCCUUUGUGGCAUUGAUGUGCAUUUCUCUGAUAGUGAUGUUGAGUAUCUUUUUGUGUGCUGUUGGCCAUCUGUACAUCUUCUUUGAAAAAAUGUUGGAUUGGGUCUUCGGCCCAUUUUUCCAUUGGGUUGUUUGUUUUUUCAGCAUUGACUUUUAUGAGUUGUUUGUAUAUUUUGGAUAUGAACACCUUGUUGCUUGAGUCAUCAGCAGAUAUUUUCAGGAACCACUAUUAUGUAUUGGUUGGCACUUUUUCUAUAUUCCCAUAGAUUGAGUAUAUUGGCUUCAUCCUUUUUCCCCCUGGUUUAUCUGCCAGAUGUCUUGACUGGUGAUUUCCAUUAUUCUCUUUCAGAUCCCUUAUUGGUUCUGUGCCAUUUAGCCUGCUAUUCAUUGCUUCUAGAUUGCUUUUUAUCCCAGCAGUUUUUUUUUUUUUUUUCUGGUCUUUUUGCUAUUUCUUGGGCUGCUCUCAUGGGAUAUGGAGGUUCCCAGGCUAGGAGCCUACACCAGAGCCACAGCAACGCAGGAUCCAAGCCGCAUCUGCAACCCACACCAGAGUUCACAGCAAUGCUGGAUCCUUAACCUGCUGAGCAAGGGCAGGGAUAGAAUCUGCAACCUCAUGGUUCCUAGUUGGAUUUGUUAACCACUGUGGCAUGAUGAGAACUUUCCCAGUUUGUCUGUUUUUGACUCAUUCAUCUUUCUAGUUUCCAGUGCCUUGUUACACUGACCUGUGUUUCUAUCAGUAAUUUUUUCUUAAUUAGCAUUUUUAUUUUAAAAUAUUAAUUAUAGUUGAUUUACAGUAUUCUGUCUAUUUCUGCUGUACAGCAAAGUGACACAGUUAUACAUGUAUAAACAUUCUUGUUCUCACAUGAUCCUCCAAAAUGUUCUAGUGACCAGUGAAGUCCUAUACAGCAGGACCUCAUUGCUUAUUCACACUCCAAAUCCAAUAGUUGCAUCAAAAAACCCUGAACUCCCAGUCCAUCCCAAUGCCUCCCCCAAUCCUUGGGGAAUCACAAAUCAGUUUUCCAUGUCCAUGAGUUUGUUCUUUUCUAUAGAUUGCUUCAUAUAUGCCAUAGAUUAGAUUGUAGGUAGAAGUGAUAUCAUAUGGUAUUGGUCUUUUGGGUUGCUGCAAAUGACAUUAUUUUGUUCUUCUUCUGGCUGAGUAAUACUCCAUUAUGUAAACGUGCCAUUACUCUAGGAGGUAGAUCCAAAAAAAAGAUAUUUCUGCAAUUUCCUCCACUGUGUGUUCUUGCCUCCUUGGUUAAAAGUACAUUGUCCAAAAGUAUGUGAGUUUAAUUCUGCAUAUUCUAUCCUAUUCCCCUGAUCUAUACUACCAUUUUUGGCCCAUGCCAUACUAUUUGGAUUGCUGUAGCUUUGAAGUAUAACUUGAGAUCAUGAAGCAUGAUUCCACCAUCUCCAUUUUACAUUCUCAGUAUGGCUUUGUUUUUGUUUUUGUUUUUGUUUUUGUGGGAGGGGGGAUGUUUUUGUGUUGCCACACAUACUUUUUUUGUGUAGUGAUCUAAUUUCAUUCUUUUACAUAUGGCUGUCCAGUUUUCCCAGCACCACUUACUUAAAGGUCUGUCUUUUCGCCAGUGUAUAUUCUUGCCUCCUUUGUCAUAGAUUAGUUGAUUGAAGGUGUGUGGAUUUAAUUCAAGGCUUUCUAUCCAGUUCCAGGGAUCUAUGUAUCUGUCUUUAUGCCAGUACUAUAGAGUUUUGAUGACUGUAGCUCUGUAGGAUAUUUUGAAGACUAGGGGCCUGAUUCCUUCAGCUCCAUUUUUAUUUUUCAGGAUGUCUUUGGUUAUUCUGCGUCUUUUGUGCUUCCAACAAACUUUAAAAUAUUUUGUUUGAGUUCUGUGAAAACUGUCCUUGGUAAUUUUAUAGAGACUGCAUUGACUCUGUACAUCACUUUGGGCAGUAUAGUCAUUUUGAUACUAUUGACACUUCCAAUCCAAGAGCAUGGUUUGUCUUUCCAUUUGUUUGUGUCAUCUUUGAUUUCUGUAAUCAGCAUCUUAUACUUUUCAGAGUACAGGUCUUUUGUCUCUUUAGGUAGGUUUAUUCCUAGGUGUUUUAUUCUUUUCAAUGUGAUGGUAAAUGGGAUUGCUUCCCUAAUUUCUCUUUCUGAUGUUUCAUUGUUAGGAUAUAGAAAUGCAGUUGAUUUCUGUGUAUUAAUUUUAUAUCCUGUGACUUUGACCAAUUCGUGGAUGGGCUCUAACAUUUUGCUGGUAGAGUCUUUAUGAUACUCUAGGUAUAGGAUCACGUCAUUUGCAAAUGGUGCCAGUUUCCCUUCUUCCUUUCCAAUUUGGAUUCCUUUUAUUUCUUUUACUUCUCUGACUGCUGUGGCUAGGACUUCGAAAACUAUGUUGAAGUGUAGUGGAGAGAGUAGAUAUCCUUGUCUUGUUCCUGAUCUCACCAGGAACUCCUUCAGCUUUUCACCAUUGAGAAUGAUGUUGGCUGUGGGUUUGUCAUCUGUGGCCUUUAUUAUGUUGAGGUAGGUUCCCUUUAUGCACACUUGCUGAAGGGUUUUUAUCAGAAAUGGGUGUUGGAUCUUGUCAAAGGCUUUUUCAGCAUCUAGUGAGAAGAUUACACAGUUUUUAUUGGUUUCUGCCCAAUGUUGCUAGAGCUGAGGGAGGUAUCAUGAGUAACUGGUACUGAGAGUAACUGCACAGAAAAUACAAGCAAGCACAUUUGUCUGUAGUUUUGGGCAGCUGAUUGGCUAUAGCAAGCUUGGCAAAUCUUUAAUCCUUCCUCUUCCUACUAGUAGUACAAGAUACAAAAAUAAAGGCUAUUUAGGCUGCUGGUUGUAUCCCCACCUCUCGCAUCAUCUGUAUUAGGAUGUAGGAUAAUGGAGAGCCCUUACUACCAUCUUACUAAUUAGUUGAAUUGGAGAAUUUUAAAUUUUUCCAGGGGAUAUUUUCAUAUUCUCCAAUUAGGCCUCUGAAGGAGCCUUACUUAUUCGAUUCCAGAAAGUCAAAUCUCUCAUGGCAUCCUGUCAUCACCAAAAAAUGGAAGUAAAUUAGAAGGGUCUUAGAUUUUACCAUAUUUGAAAUUCCAGUGUUUUAGCCUUGCAGUUUUGACAAUGUUAGGAAAAAAUAUUUUAGAUGCCUUAGUAUGUGCCAAAAAAAUAUUUUCAUGACACAAACGGACAGCAAUAGUACUGAUAGGUGCAAGCAGAAGCUGAUACAAGAUAGGAAAGAAAUGAAAGGCCCUUGUGGGAUUUUCUCCUAACACAUUGCAAUCUCCCAUUUACAACGUGGGAGCACUCAACCCUCUGAGGAAAAAGGCCCAAGGAAGGGUUUUGCAUCUGUGGUUCUAUGGGAGUGCUAAAGAUGUGGAGAGUCAAGAAGAGUUGGUGAGAAUGAUGAUAAGAUUUUUAAAAAACAGAUUCAUGGAUAAAGUGAUGUUUACCUGUGUGAAUCAAUGAGAGGUAGGAGCAAAUUUAAGGAAACCAGAUACAAUAUUUUCUGAAUCAAUGUAAUGUCUUAGAAAGGUUGAAAAACAUUCACAUUUUGAUACAGUGAAUUGAAUUUUUGUGGAAAGCUAACAUUUAAAUCUCAUUUACUAAAUGUAUUGGAAUGAAGAAUAGACAGCAUAGUAACUUCACCUUGAGCUCACCUCUUCGUAGAAGCACACAAAAAUCACAACUGUCAUAAAUGCAUUCAAUAAAUAAAUAAAUAAAUAAAAAUUUUUACAAAAUUGAGAAAAAGCAAAUUCCCAUCUUGGUUCACAGCUUAACAAACCUGACUAGCAUCCAUGAGUAUUUUAGUUUGAUCCCUGGCUUCCCACAGUUGGUAAAGGGCCAGAAUUGUGGUAAACUAUGGUAUAGGUUGCAGAUGUGGCCCAGAUCUGAUGUUGCUGUGGCUGUGGCAUAGAGUGUUGGCUACAGCUCUGAUUGGACCCCUACACUGAGAACCUUCCUGUGCUGUGUGUGUGGCCCUAAAAAACCAUACAAACAGAAAAUUCUUAACUGCCAAUCUUGAACAAUCCUCUAUACAAAAGACUGGAGUCUAUUGAAAAGAGAAAAUAUAUUCUACAUUGAAUGACACACAGAGGAACCCUUGAGACAAGAGAGGGGGGUCUCCUUUGCAAUAUACUCAACUGCCAUACCACCCAGGUGUGAAAACCACAAACUGUAGAUUAAUUAUAUUGCAGAAGUUAUCCAAAAGGAGUGAGAGCUCUUAGCUACAUGCCAUGCUCUCCAGCCUAGUGUUCCAGCAUUAGGAGGUAGAGCCUCCAGAGCAUUUGGCUUUGUAGGCCAGUGGGACUUAAAAGGCUGUUGCUCCAGAAACUGGAAGGAUCAGAGACUACAAUCUGGGAAGAUGCACAGAAGAUCUCACAUGCACUAGGAAAAGGGCAAAACCAGUGAAACAGUGGGAGACUUGGACAGUCCUAUAUGCUGGUCUUAUCAGGAUUCUUGGGCAGACAGGGGGUAGCAGGGCUCUCUUUGGGGUCAUAAAGACUGGUAGCAGAUAUAACAGGGACCUAUGUGAACUUUGGCCAGAGGCAGACAAGUUGGGUCCUUGGCAACAAGACCUGGCCCCACCCAACAGCCUGUAAACUACAAUGCUGAGAAGCCUUAGGUCAGAAAACCAACAAUGUGGGAAUACAACCCUAUCCAUCAGCAGUCAGGCUAUCUAAAGGCUUUGUGAGCCCAGAGACACCUCUAGACAUGCCCUUUGAAACAGCCCUGCACAACAUAGAGCCAAGACCUGCUUCCUCCACCAGUGGGCACCAAGAGCCUCUAAAACCCAGAAGCCUGCACAAGCCUCCAGACCAGCCUCCCCCACCAAAACACAGACAGCAGAAUCAAGACAAUAUACAAGGGAAUCACUAUAAGGGUAUCAUGAACUUUCAGCAGACAUUUUGCAUAUCAGAACGGAGGCACACAAUAUAUUUAAAAUGAUGAAAGGGGUAAUCCAACCACCAUGCAUAUGCUACCCCAAGAGGCCUCAUCCAGAUUUGAUGGGGAAAUCAAAUUCUUUACAGAGAAACCAAAUUUUAAAAAAAUUCAACAAACAAAUCUAGCUUUGGGACUAAAAGAACUCUAAGUAGAAAUGCUAAAAGAAAUCCUCUAUGUGGAAAUGGCCACAGGUAGAACCAGGAAAUUUAUGAAGGAGACAAUUAGGAAAUGCUCUCUGUGGCAAAAAAGGAAACAAUAAAAGUAGAGAAGCAUCCACAAAUAUAUAUCAAAGCUGGUAUUUAUAAUUUAAAAACAAUCAUAUUUGUAUAUAGACUACCAUAUUGCAACUUCAUGAUAACCACAAAGCAAAAUCCUAUCAUAGUUAUAUACCAAAAAAGAUUAAAAGGAAUCCAAAUAUAAAGUGAAAGCUAGAUAUCAAAUUGAAGGAGAUGAGACCAAAAAAGGAAAGGAAGGGAAAUCAGUACAAGAUGGCAGAGGAGUGAGAGGUGGAUAUUACCUUCUUCCAAAAAUAUAUAAUAAAAAAUCCGUGUGUAGAACAAUUCUUCCCGUAAAGUCUACUGAACACUGAAAGAAGAAAUCAGCCUUCCUUAAGGACAAGAAAAUCUCCACAUAUCUGGAGUAAGAGCAAUAGAAAUGAAAUGAAGAAGGAGAAGCAGCGAUCCCAAUUAGAAGAACAGGAGACCUCCCCUGAAGGAGCAAACAAUGAAACUGUCUAAUAGACACUGACUUCAAAAGGAGGUAAUGAACGUACCAAAGCAAUUAAGACAGGCUAUCAACAGAAAUGUGGAUUAUUGUAAAAAGGACCUAGAAACUGUAAGGAGGAGCCAAGAAAAAUUAGAAAACUCCUUUGCCAUGAUAAAAGCAGAGUGAAAGGCAAUGAAUAGCAGAAUGAACAAUGUGACCUGGAACUCAAAAAUGGAAAUCACCCAAGCAUGAUAGCAGACAGACAGCCAAAUUAAAAAAAAGAAGAAGAAAGAAGAAGAAAAGAAAACAACAUAAAGCGAUAUAUGGGAUAAUACAAAACAUGUUGAUCUCUGCAUGGCAAAGUUCCCAGAAAUUGAGGAGAGUCAAAAGGGUGUUGAAAAUGUACUUGAAGCCUAAAAUCUUCCAAAUUCUAAAGAAGGAAAGAGAUAUGCCAGUACAUGGGGCACAGAGGGUCCCCAACAAGAUAAACCCAAACUGACCUACACCAAGACAAAUUCUUUUUUAAAACAUCAAAAGUGAAAGAUAAACAAAGGCUUCUAAAGGCAGCAAGAGAAAAGCAAAGCAUUAAUUACAAGGGAACCCCCAUAAGGCUUUCAGCUUAUUUCUCUACAGAAAAGCUACAGGCCAGAAGGGAGUGGCAAAAUAUAGUCAAGCUUCUAAAAAAAAAAAAAAA